GUGAGUCAUCGAAUCUUUGAACGCACAUUGCACCCUCUGGAAUUCUAGGGGGUAUGCCUGUUCGAGCGUCAUUUCAACCCUCAAGCACUGCUUGGUAUUGGAUGCAAUCACUUGUGGUGCAUCUCAAAAGCAUUAGCAGUACAUUCAGCUUCUAGUGUAGUAAUUUUCUCGCUUUGGAGUUUGGAUGCGACUGCUGGAACCCACAUUUAUCAAUGGUUGACCUCGGAUCAGGUAGGGAUACCCGCUGAACUUAAGCAUAUCAAUAAGCGGAGGA
rnacentral:misc_RNA from 1 species